UGACAUUCUGGGAUACAUGUUUUUGCUUAAUCCAUUGGGGGGGGGGUUGUAUGAACAAAAAAAUAGUUGGCAAAAAGAAGAAAUUAAAGCCCCCAACAACAGGCAUCAACACACUAGAGACAUGAUUUUUUAUAUAUAAAUUUUAAAAAUGCCCUUAUAAAAAUGGAUUUAAUUAAAUAUAAAUUUAAUUAGAUCUUAUAGAUUUGUUAAUAAGAUUUGAGUGACAGACAACUUUUUUUCUCAACAUAUAGUAUCUUUGAUUUCAAUCAUACGGGGGGAUCAUGGAAAAGGUGACCAUUGGAACAUUCCCAUGAAGGUUCCUC
rnacentral:lncRNA from 1 species